GGGAGCAGGCAGUGGGGAAUUUUUCGCAAUGGGGGCAACCCUGACGAAGCAAUGCCGCGUGGAUGAAGAAGGCUUCGGGGUUGUAAAGUCCUUUGGUGGGGGACGAAAAGGCGGGUCCUAAUACGAUCUGCUGUUGACGUGAACCCAAGAAGAAGCACCGGCUAACUCCGUGCCAGCAGCCGCGGUAAUACGGGGGGUGCAAGCGUUAAUCGGAAUCACUGGGCGUAAAGGGUGCGUAGGCGGUACGUUAGGUCUGUCGUGAAAUCCCCGGGCUCAACCUGGGAAUGGCGGUAGAAACCGGCGCACUAGAGUAUGGGAGAGGGUGGUGGAAUUCCAGGUGUAGCGGUGAAAUGCGUAGAGAUCUGGAGGAACAUCAGUGGCGAAGGCGGCCACCUGGCCCAAUACUGACGCUGAGGCACGAAAGCGUGGGGAGCAAACAGGAUUAGAUACCCUGGUAGUCCACGCCCUAAACGAUGAAUACUAGAUGUUUGGUACCUAGCGAACUGAGUGU
rnacentral:rRNA from 1 species